rnacentral:misc_RNA from 1 species
AAGUCGUAACAAGGUUUCCGUAGGUGAACCUGCGGAAGGAUCAUUGCAAAUGUAGAGGGGUGGUUGGAUGGUUUGUCCAAUCACACCCACAUAAGGUCUUGGGUCGGAUGGGAUGGGAUAUAUAUCUUGUCUUGUCUUGUCUGGUCCAUUAUCAUUCAUUCACGCAUGUUUUGUUUGUCAGACCGAAUGUGUCAAUUUAUCAAAACUUUUAACAAUGGAUCUCUUGGCUCUU